CCUACGGGUGGCAGCAGUGGGGGAUAUUGCACAAUGGGGGGAACCCUGAUGCAGCGACGCCGCGUGGGUGAAGGAGUAGUUCGGUAUGUAAAGCCCUAUCGGCAGGGAAGAAAUUGGACGGUACCUGACUAAGAAGCCCCGGCUAACUACGUGCCAGCAGCCGCGGUAAUACGUAGGGGGCAAGCGUUAUCCGGAUUCACUGGGUGUAAAGGGAGCGUAGACGGCCAUGCAAGCCAGGGGGGAAAGCCCGGGGCCCAACCCCGGGACUGCCCUUGGAACUGCAUGGCUGGAGUGCGGGAGGGGCAGGCGGAAUUCCUGGUGUAGCGGUGAAAUGCGUAGAUAUCAGGAGGAACACCGGCGGCGAAGGCGGCCUGCUGGACCGCGACUGACGUUGAGGCUCGAAAGCGUGGGGAGCGAACAGGAUUAGAUACCCCAGUAGUC
rnacentral:rRNA from 1 species